CAUUACUGAGUUUACGCUCUACAACCCUUUGUGAACAUACCUACAACUGUUGCUUCGGCGGGUAGGGUCUCCGCGACCCUCCCGGCCUCCCGCCUCCGGGCGGGUCGGCGCCCGCCGGAGGAUAACCAAACUCUGAUUUAACGACGUUUCUUCUGAGUGGUACAAGCAAAUAAUCAAAACUUUUAACAACGGAUCUCUUGGUUCUGGCAUCGAUGAAGAACGCAGCGAAAUGCGAUAAGUAAUGUGAAUUGCAGAAUUCAGUGAAUCAUCGAAUCUUUGAACGCACAUUGCGCCCGCCAGCAUUCUGGCGGGCAUGCCUGUUCGAGCGUCAUUUCAACCCUCAAGCUCUGCUUGGUGUUGGGGCCCUACAGCCGAUGUAGGCCCUCAAAGGUAGUGGCGGACCCUCCCGGAGCCUCCUUUGCGUAGUAACUUUACGUCUCGCACUGGGAUCCGGAGGGACUCUUGCCGUAAAACCCCCCAAUUUUCCAAAGGUUGACCUCGGAUCAGGUAGGAAUACCCGCUGAACUUAAGCAUAUCA
rnacentral:rRNA from 1 species